rnacentral:rRNA from 1 species
GAUGAACGCUGGCGGUGUGCCUAAUACAUGCAAGUCGAGCGAACAGACAAGAAGCUUGCUCCUCUGCGGUUAGCGGCGGACGGAUGAGUAACGCAUGGAUAGCCUUCUUCUUAGACUUGGAUAACUUCGUAAGACAACAUAUACUACUACCUCAUAUAUCCUACGGCUUGAUUCAAUAGUGCUUGACGGUUUUGGUGUUACUUUUAGAUGAUUCCGGGCCGGAUUAGCUAGUUGGUAAGGUAACGGCCUACCAAGGCAACGAUGCGUAGCCGACCUGAGAGGGUGAUCAGCCACACUGGAACUGAGACACGGUCCAGACUCCUACGGGAGGCAGCAGUAGGGAAUCUUCCGCAAUGGGCGAAAGCCUGACGGAGCAACGCCGCGUGAGUGAUGAAGGUCUUCGGAUCGUAAAACUCUGUUAUUAGGGAAGAACAAAUGUGUAAGUAACUAUGGACGUCUUGACGGUACCUAAUCAGAAAGCCACGGCUAACUACGUG